rnacentral:rRNA from 1 species
GACGGAGGAGGCUAGCGUUGUUCGGAAUUACUGGGCGUAAAGCGCGCGCAGGCGGUCUUGCAAGUCAGGGGUGAAAGCCCGGGGCUCAACCUCGGAACUGCCUUUGAGACUGUGAGACUCGAGACCGAGAGAGGAGAGUGGAAUUCCCAGUGUAGAGGUGAAAUGCGUAGAGAUCGGGAGGAACACCAGUGGCGAAGGCGGCUCGCUGGGCCGGCCCUGACGCUGAGACGCGAAGGCGUGGGGAGCAAACAGG